ensembl:lincRNA
CUAAAGGAGUGCCCAGCUGUUGCUCUUUCCUCUCUCUGGUUUUCAGUCCCCGUGAUGUGGACUCAUUAUGGCUGUGAUCGUUGCUGAUGACAUUAAUGCACUGUGCUGCUUCUCCAUCGCAUGUGCCAUCUGCUCCCAUCAGCCCUGUGGGCUGUGGAGCUCCCCAGGAGGAAGGGUUUAAUGGCUUGGGAGCUGCUCCAAAUAGCAUCUGCAAGAACCAGAUCUUGAGCAGCCCUGGAGACCAACAAUGACUGGAGCUGAGAUUUGGCCCUUUUCUAGACAAGCAGGAAGCCCAAGCCCCAACCUCAGCACUCCCAGACCCAGGCCAGCCUAUGUGAGAAACACAAGGAAGACCCUAGAAAGGUAAGCUGUCCCCACAUCCCAACUCUUUCCCUACAAAUGUUGAAAUCCCAUGUUUAGAACUUUAUUUCCUUAUGCUCAUUAGCCCUGAGAUGCUAGUAUGUGAUGGCAUGCACUUAGAGAAGAAAAGUCACACUUGCUCUUAUAUUAGCCAUUUA